rnacentral:rRNA from 1 species
CUACGGGGCGCUCCAGUGGGGAAUAUUGCACAAUGGGCGCAAGCCUGAUGCAGCCAUGCCGCGUGUAUGAAGAAGGCCUUCGGGUUGUAAAGUACUUUCAGCGGGGAGGAAGGGCGUAAAGCUAAUACCUUUGCUCACUGACGUUACCUGCAGAAGAAGCACCGGCUAACUCCGUGCCAGCAGCCGCGGUAAUACGGAGGGUGCAAGCGUUAAUCGGAAUUACUGGGCGUAAAGCGCACGCAGGCGGUUUGUUAAGUCAGAUGUGAAAUCCCCGGGCUCAACCUGGGAACUGCAUCUGAUACUGGCAAGCUUGAGUCUCGUAGAGGGGGGUAGAAUUCCAGGUGUAGCGGUGAAAUGCGUAGAGAUCUGGAGGAAUACCGAUGGCGAAGGCGGCCCCCUGGACGAAGACUGACGCUCAGGUGCGAAAGCGUGGGGAGCAAACAGGAUUAGAUACCCCUGUAGUC